AUUGAACGCUGGCGGCAGGCCUAACACAUGCAAGUCGAGCGGGGUUUUCGGACCUAGCGGCGGACGGGUGAGUAAUGCGUAGGAAGCUGCCCGAUAGAGGGGGAUACCAGUUGGAAACGACUGUUAAUGCCGCAUAAUGUCUACGGACCAAAGUGUGGGACCUUCGGGCCACAUGCUAUCGGAUGCGCCUACGUGGGAUU
rnacentral:rRNA from 1 species